rnacentral:tRNA from 1 species
AAAAUCCGUCGACUUUAAAAAUCGUGAGGGUUCAGU